UUGAACGCUGGCGGCAGGCCUAACACAUGCAAGUCGCACGGUAACAGGAAGCAGCUUGCUGCUUCGCUGACGAGUGGCGGACGGGUGAGUAAUGUCUGGGAAACUGCCUGAUGGAGGGGGAUAACUACUGGAAACGGUAGCUAAUACCGCAUAACGUCGCAAGACCAAAGAGGGGGACCUUAGGGCCUCUUGCCAUCGGAUGUGCCCAGAUGGGAUUAGCUAGUAGGUGGGGUAACGGCUCACCUAGGCGACGAUCCCUAGCUGGUCUGAGAGGAUGACCAGCCACACUGGAACUGAGACACGGUCCAGACUCCUACGGGAGGCAGCAGUGGGGAAUAUUGCACAAUGGGCGCAAGCCUGAUGCAGCCAUGCCGCGUGUAUGAAGAAGGCCUUCGGGUUGUAAAGUACUUUCAGCGGGGAGGAAGGGAGUAAAGUUAAUACCUUUGCUCAUUGACGUUACCCGCAGAAGAAGCACCGGCUAACUCCGUG
rnacentral:rRNA from 1 species